CGAGCAAAGUAAAUUUAAAAAUCCUUCCACAAACUAAGCUACAUAUGGAAAAUUCACAACAAAAAUAAUAUACUAUAUAAAACGUAAAAUAAUAAUAUACAAAACACAAAAUAAAAUAAAGAAAAUCAUACUCUGUAAAAAACGAAAGAAUACAAUGUUUAAAUGAAAUCUAACAAAAGUUUUGUGAUAGCUGAGGCAGAAAACUCGUCCACGAUAAUUUAAGUAUGAAACAUAAAAAGAAAAACGAUUCUUUAGAUUUUCUUUUGACCGAUCACUCUUUUUAUUAAUAGUACAUGGAGGCGUGUGUUGUAUACAAUAGCUUUGUCUGAAUUUUUUCACUCUUCAGGAAAGAUUCUCACAAAUAUAAUACAUGCUGGAUAGUCUAUCAUAUUAAUUUGCAUCAUAUUAUUAAUUGCACCUCUCUUCUUAAUCAUCAAUCAUGUCUCCAACAUCGAUAUCAAACUGUAAUAGGAAAUACUCGUUAAGAAAAUAAUGAUUGAUAUGACUAUUUUAUCACAUUAUCUCGAUUGAAUGAUGUUCUGUAUAAAGUUGCAAAUGAAGUGAAAAUCUAUUUUUGCAAUUGUAGAAAAGUAAAAGUGAACGAAUAGAGUAAUACCUCCAAGCUUCUAAAGACGUCAACCACUUGAGUCUAAGGCUCCAUUUAUUUUUUUUAAGAUUCAGACGUCUGGAUCUGAAUGCACAUCUGAAUGAUUAAGAUGUUGUCUUUAGAUCUGAAAACUGAAUGAUUAAAACUGUUUGUUUUUCAACAUCUAAAUGUGUAAAAAAUAUUUAUUUGUAUACAUAAUAGAAUAAAAAGUACAAUUCAAAUAAAAAAUUAAUUAUAUAUUACAAAAGUAUGUAAUUCAAUACAACAAAAUUAUUAGUAUUUGAUUGAGAAAAAAUAUUUAUGUUUGUUAGUGAUAGUGGAGAUGACUUAUAAUAGUGGUUGCGGUGACAAUGAUUGAUGUUAAUGUUUAAUAAUGUUGGUGGUGAUAAUUGUGAUGGUUGGUAUUGUAGUGAUUAUCAUGAUGGUGCUGGUUGUUGUGAUGUGACGUUGCUUGAUGUUAGUAGUUUAAGGUGUUGAUUGUGUUGGCUGAAACAUGAAUGCAUGAUGAUUGACGAUAUGUUGAUGCUAGUUAAAAAUGUUAUUUGUUGUGAUGGUGGAGAUGGUUGUUAGUAGAGAUAAAUUGUAGUGAUGAUACUGGUUGAAGUGGUGGUAGAGGUAGCGUUACUAGUGACAAUGGUGAUGGCUGUCAAAGAAUUUAUAGAGGUUAUGAUGUAUUAGUGGUAGUUAGUGGUGAUGCUAGUUAUGAUAGAUGAGUUGGUUGGUAGGAGAGAUUGGCCAGUAGUGGUUGUUGAUUGUGUUGUCGUUGACGGCAGUGAUGACGAUGAAUAUAAUUAGAAUAAAAGAGGUAGUAGGUGUGGUAGCGGAUGACAAUCGUGAUUGGUAGCGGUAUUUGUGUCGAUGGUAGUUGUGAUGGUAGAGGUGGUUGGUGAUGGUAGGUGGUGGUUGACAAUGGUGACGGUGGCAGAGGAGGUUAGUGGUGGUAACUGCUGAUUAUGAAUAGAGUGGUGAAUAUUAUCCAAUACCAGAAUAUUCCUUCAAACCUAUUAAGACUUGAUUCUAGAUCUCAAUCGCAAUGAUUAAGACUUAUUCAGAGUUAAAACCUUAAUAAAAAAUAAAUGCACUUAAUGAUCUAAAAUCUGAACCAUUCAUAUUCAGACCUGAGCAAAUAAAUUAGGCCUAAGGAUGGAAAAUCUCUUUUAUAAACGCUAAAAAUAAUUGAAGCAAUAUCCAUAAAAAAUAGUUUCAGUAAUUCUUAAUGGAGAUAAUGCACUCUUCUCUUUUUAACAUAGUUUCUUUACUUCUUUUCUUAUCCUCUCUCAUUAUUCUAGUUCUAGCUAGUAGAAACAAAAACCAAAUAACGUUGCCUCCAGUUCCAUGGAGACCUCCCUUUAUUGGAAGUUUGCAUCACUUGAUCGGUCGAGGACUUCCACAUCGCACUCUUAGUAGCUUAGCACAAAAAUAUGGGCCUCUUAUGUACUUGCAGCUCGGAGAAAUUCCGGCCGUGGUCAUAUCAUCGCCUGCUAUUGCGAAAGAAAUUCUAAGAACUCAUGAUCUUGCCUUUGUGGAUAAACCACAGCUUACCUCCACAAACAUCAUAUUUUACAACCAUAAAGGCAUUGUAUUUCACUAAUAUGGUGAUUACUGGCGACAAAUGCGCAAAAUUUGUAUGGCUGAACUUCUUAGUACUAAGAUGAUCAAAUCAUUUAGUGCAAUUUGUGAAGAUGAGCUUUCAAAUCUCAGUUCGUCAAUUCGUUCCAUGAGAGGUUCUACAGUAAAUAUAACGGAAAAGAUUUCUUGGUUUACAAACCCUGUCACUUGUAGAUCAGCCUUUGGAAAAAUAUGUAGAGACAGAUGAACUUACAAAACUAGUGAAGGAAGUACAUGUACUAAUUGGAGGAUUUGAUGCUGCUGAUCGAUCUUUUCCCUUCUUGGAAGUUACUUCACAAGAUAAGCGGUGCGAAAUCUAGAUUGGUGAGUGACCAUAAGAAGGUUGAUGCAAUUAUCGAGGACGUCCUCAAUGAGCAUAUC
rnacentral:lncRNA from 1 species